rnacentral:tRNA from 1 species
GGCUCCUUGGUCAAGCGGUUAAGACAUUACCCUCUCACGGUAGUAUCAGGGGUUCGAAUCCCCUAGGAGUCACCA